rnacentral:lncRNA from 1 species
AAUCAUUAACAAUCAUGUCAUUUGGUUAGCAAAUUUGGUUUAAAAAUUUGAUCUCCCUAGCAUUACCAAUUUGUUAUUAUCAAGUGAUUUGUGGUUUGUGUUAACCCAAAAUGAGAUUCAUUUUUUCUCCGUAAUUAAUAUAAAUCUUUCUCGGUCUAGCAAAAUACUAGGACUCUCUUUGUCGUCGUCCUUUUUCCUGCUUUGCAUUUUAGGAAUAUUGAAUGUGUGGCUUGACUUGGCCACCUAUAUUUUUGGACGUCUCAAACACGUUACUAUGAGCAGAAGCAGCCCUUCUCAAGUCGAAGGGAAUCAAUGGAUGUGUGAAAGUAUUGGGAACUCGGUAUUUGCUAUAAUACUUACAUAUCUAAUAUAAUUAUCAUUUCGAUUGUCAAUUAAGGAUUUUAUUAAAAGUUUAUGUGAUAUUUAAUAUUAUAGUUUGAUAACAUUUUUCUUUAUUUGUAAUAAAAAAGUUUUAGGUUCAAAUCGUGAAUUAUGAGUUUGUAACCAAUUUAUUCGCCUCACUCCUUGGUGUGAAUAUAGCAAGGAAUUCAAAAAGCAUUAAAGAAAAAGUAAUAAGAAAAAUGUGUAAAUAUAACAAAUUUAUUCUCUCCACCCUUUGUGUGUACUUGUAACACUAAGGCCUCAUUUGGUAUUGAUUUUUUUCACAAAAACAGUUUCAAUUUAAAGUUAAACAGUAAAAACGUGAUUGGUAAAAAAAAAUAUUCUACCUAUUUUUAACGCAUUGGUCUUCAGACAGCAGCUUUUAAAAGUCUAAUGAUAUUUUCUUUUCACUUAUAAAUGAAGAUUUAACAUUAUGAAUUAACUUCGUUCAUGACUCAGUGGAUGAAGGAGUUCUUCCUCAAGAUACUUAGUUUUCAAUUCACGAAAUUUCAUAUUAAUGAUCGAAACCAUUCAAAUACUUUGUAAAGAUCAUUAAAAAAAAUUAAUAAAAUAAGAAAUCAUGUAGUCAUUCAACUAUAUAAAAACAAACAACUAAAAGUAUUAUAAAAUGUCGAUUUAUUUGCUACAACUGAUUGACUAAAUGACCUUACAAAUUUUCUCUAACUUUAUGCAUGUACUACAAGUAAAUCACACACAUGCCAAAACAUUUAAAACGAAUAAUAAAUCCAGAAUAUAAGAUUUUAUCCAACUUUAUGCAUGCAGCACAAGUCAACAAAUAUUGUAUUCUGAACGAAUAAUUCCAAGGACAAAGUAAAGAAUGAAUAAUUCCAAGGACCAAGACUUUAAAUUGCUAAAGGUAUGGCUAUGUUUUGGUCACAUAUUGUAUUGCCUCUGAUAGCUACUUGUAGCCCCACCUUUGAUUGUGCGUGUUUGAGAUGAAAUGGCAAAUGCAUUGGAGAAGGAGAACCAUUGGUUAUUUUAUUGUACAAAGAUUUCCACAAGUAUUGAAUAGUCUUGUUAUUUUAUUGUACAAAGAUUUCCACAAGUAUUGACUAGUCUAUUUUCAAUCUUGUCCAUUUAUUCUUUACUAUUCAUCAUUACGUACUAUUGAAGAAUUUUCUCAUUUUGUGGUAUUCUCUUUGGUUGUGCUCCAGCUUAGGCAUUGAGUACUCUGUGAAACUAGUGUCACAAAAUUUGAAUGACCAAGAUAUAUAUGGUCAUUCACUAUUGAUUUGAUAUUAACUGCGGAGAAAAAAUGGAUCUCAUUUUAGGUUAACACAAACCACCAAUCACCUCACAAUAACAAACUGAUAAUACUAGAGAGCCCAAAUUUACCAACCAAAUGACGUGAUUGUUAAUUAUUAGUUAAAUGUUGAUUAACGUGUAUUUCCUAUUGGAAACAUGUCAUUGGGUUUGCAAAUUUGGUUAAAAUAGAGUAAUGUUACACUUACCACCUACUUGAACCAUCUCUCUAAUAAAGCUAAGGCCCGUCAACACAUAUGAGUUUCAUAUCUAUUAGAGAAAUAGUACAAAUAAUGGUACAACUAGGUGGUAAAAGUAGCAUUUUUGUUAAAAAUUUGGUAUUCCUAACAUUAUCCAUACCAAAAACAAAUGAGAAAUUUUAUUUGAACUUAUAUAACUUUUUUUUACACCCAACUUACUCUCUACACAUAUAUCGUACCUAU